rnacentral:lncRNA from 1 species
AAGUGGGUCGGAGCUGCAGGCUCGCUCUUUUCUGCCGCUCGGUGUCGGGAGAGGGAAGCCGGGCGAGCUGCUCGGCGCGGUUCGCCCGGGUCUCCGUGACUCCCGCAGAGUCCACUUAAGGUGGGUGACUCUGGUUUUCCGAAGUUCUGUAGUGUGGGGUUGUGCGCGCUGAACGGGUGACGCGCGGCGUGCGAGCCUGGGCCCGUAAAGCCUUCCAAAGAGGAGGGCGACGCCGCUGCACACCGAGGUGGAGCGCCGGGGCCCAGUGGAAGCGACUGAGCGAGCCUGCCUUCGACACGGGCCGCCCCGCCGCCUCUCCGCAGCGUCAGAACUUGCCGAAUGCCCCCCACCGCCACCGCGGAGGUUCGCUGAGCGCUCCUGGGUCGUCUGGUGGGCGUAAGCCGGGCUGUCACGGGUUCUUUUAUUCCCAUCCUCUAGGCACACCCACUUCACACAGUGACAUAUAAAUGGGCCACAGAAAGAAAGCAGCCGCAAGGUUACAGAAUACUGAGCCAAGAGCACUGAGAGAUGAAUGCAAAGAGUCACUGGAACUGGAUUUUAACGACCAGUUCCAGUCGGCAGAGCUGUCAAAGCAGAGGGUCCAGAUAGGCGGCAGUUUCACGGUGUACGGUGUCAGCUCUAGGUGUGGGAGUGGGCCACGCGUUGUCAUCACAGGCAGGGGAAGCUGCACUCUGCUGAAACCCAAUGGGGACAGGAAAUGGGAGGUUCCUCACUGUGGCAAUUUUCCUGGGCCUGAACCUGUGAUCCUCCUGCCUUAGCCUCUCAAAUUGCUGGGAUUACAGGUGUGCACCAGCAUACUUGGCUAGACUCUUUGUUUUAUUUUUAGACAGGUUCUCAUUAAGUUGCCCAGGCUGGCCUUUAACUUGUGAUCUUCCUGCCUCAGCCUCCUGAAUAGCUAGGAUUACAGGUGUGUGCCACCAUACCUGUUAGUGAGUUUUAAAUAAAAAAAGGCUUUCAAUUUCAAUAAUAAUAAUAAAAACAAAACAGGAAAGCCAUACAGUGGAAGAAAUAUUCAGAGCACCGUGCCAAAGGCCUGAUACCCAGAAUAUAUAAAGAACUUUUGCAAAUCAAUAUUAAAAAGAUUUUACUAGAAUUACACACACACACACACACACACACACGCAAUAACUACAUGAAGGAUUAUUGCCACUACUGGUAGUGUGGUAGUACAGAUUAAAACCACAAUGAGAUAUCAUUUCACCCAUUCAGCAGAGCUGAAAUAGAACUGACUACACAUAUUUGGGAAAGUUUGUACAGUAAUUGCAUCAGCUAUCUACUGUUUGUGGACGUGUAAACUAGACAACUAAUUUGAAAAAUUGCUUAGCAGUUUCUUUUAAUUUAAGCAUACAGGUUAGGGGAUGCACUCCAGUGGCAGAGCACUUGCUUAGCAUGCCCAAGGCCCUGGACUCAUCCCCAGUACUGCAAAAACAACAGAAAAGUUUAAAGAUACAGAUACUCUAGGACCUAGAAAUUGCAAUCCUAGGUAUUUUUUUUCUUUCUUUUUUUUUUUAAUAUUGAAUUGCACAGAAAAUGACUUAAUUUUUUUUUUUUUAGUUGUUAGUGGACCUUUAGUUUAUUUAUUUAUACAUGCUGCUGAGAAUCGAACCAAGUGCCUCACACAUGCCAGGCAAGUGCGCUACCACUGAGCCACAGCUCCAGUCCCCAAUCCUAGGUAUUUCUCUAUGAGAAACAAAAAGUUAUAAACAAAAAGAUUUUAUAAAAUAUAUGAAUAUUUCUAGGGCUGCUAUAGCAGUGUUGGUGGCACAACAGAGAUGGAUUUAAUGGUUCCAGGGCUAGAAGUCUGAGAUUAAAGUGUUGGCAGGGAUGUGUUCUCUCUGAAGCCUACAGGACUGUUCCCUGACUCUUCCCGCCUCUGGAAGACCCCUGGCCUUACUUCAAUCUGCUCCUUCUCCAUGUGGUACUUUCUCCUUUGAGUCUGUGUCCAAAUUUUCCUUUUCUUGUAUGCAUACAUGCCAUGAGCAAGCUGUGCCACCAACAGAAACCAAAACCAUUUGCAUUUUUCCAUAAUGUCAGAAUUUGUUGAAUAACAAUGAAUUCACAAGCUACACCACUUUCAGUGGUGGCAAUUCAACAAUACUUGAGGGUCACCUGAUAGUCAUAACCCAGGCAAACUCAAGUUCUUUUAUUCCAUUCUAAUCUAAUUUAUUUUUUUUUAAUAUUUUUUUUUUAGUUAUAGAGGGACAUGAUACAUUUUAAUCUGUUUAUUUAUUUGUGUGGUGCUGAGGUUGAACUCAGUGACUCACACAUGCUAGGCAAGCAGUCUAUCACUGACCCACAGUCACAGCCCUCCCUUUAUUUCAUUUUUAUGUGGUGCUAAGGAUCGAACCCAGUGCCUCACUCGUGCUAGGUGAGCCCUGAACCACUGAGCUACAACCCCAGCCCCCCCCAGUCUAAUUUCUAAUAACACUCAAAUCACACAUUAUAUUUCACACAAUUAUAACACACGCACACACAUUUUUAAAUAUGUCACAGACUAAAUCUGUGUUGCAGUAAUUCACUUGCAGGUCAGCAUGGGAAAAGAAAGAAGAAGCAGAGCAAGCAAAGCAGCAGCAGAAAAAAAGCCCUUUAUUGUGUACAGCAAUCUUGUUAUAGUAUUGUGAACAAAGAAGGCAGCCUUCCAACAUCAAUAAAUCAGGUCUUUCAGCUAAUUAAACAUAGCAUACAGAAGUUUUACUUUCUAAUCAGAAGUGACCCGCUUCUCAUGGCUAAUCUAUUCUCGGCCCUGAGUAUGUUGAGCUCUGCUCUUUGUUAAGAACAGAUAAUAAAAUUUUUCUUAGCGCCCUCCUAGCCCACUUGGCAGAACAUCCCGUUUGCAG